rnacentral:rRNA from 1 species
CCUACGGGAGGCAGCAGUCGAGAAUCAUUCACAAUGGGGGAAUCCCUGAUGGUGCGACGCCGCGUGGGGGAAUGAAGGUCUUCGGAUUGUAAACCCCUGUCAUGUGGGAGCAAAUUAAAAAGAUAGUACCACAAGAGGAAGAGACGGCUAACUCUGUGCCAGCAGCCGCGGUAAUACAGAGGGCUCAAGCGUUGUUCGGAAUCACUGGGCGUAAAGAGUGCGUAGGCUGUUUCGUAAGUCGUGUGUGAAAGGCGCGGGCUCAACCCGCGGACGGCACAUGAUACUGCGAGACUAGAGUAAUGGAGGGGGAACCGGAAUUCUCGGUGUAGCAGUGAAAUGCGUAGAUAUCGAGAGGAACACUCGUGGCGAAGGCGGGUUCCUGGACAUUAACUGACGCUGAGGCACGAAGGCCAGGGGAGCGAAAGGGAUUAGAUACCCCAGUAGUC